UAUAUGUAGCCGAGCUAAAUUUAAUUUUAUUUUGUGUUAUUUUUUUAUCAUUGUUCAUACCUUUUUUAUUGUGAACUCCACCAAAUAUUGGUUCCUAGUUGUAAGUUGAUUUCGUUGUUCCGUAUGGCAUGCCUUUUGUUUCCCGGGGGAGUGGUUUGGCGUUGCACCUGUGUGUCUAGCGUCAGUGAGCGCUGAUGCACGGAGCUGGUGAGUUCCGUUUGUGUCUCUCUCCGUUAGAUUUUUAUGUUAACCCCUUGUUUGUUGCCCUUGAACGGCUGUGGUGGUUCACACUGCUUUGUGACGUGCUUUUAGGCACGCGGGAGAAACUCUGGUGCUUUAGACAAUUUAAUUGAACUGUUGGAAGGGUGGAUUUUGAUUAACUCGUAACCUAGCUUGAGCCGGUGGUAGCUUAGUUUUUUUCCCGCCUUGAUAUUUCAAAUGCGGUUGUUUUAUCCGGUAUGUGUGGUCAAUUGUUUGCUUCCUUUGUUUUGUAGAGUGGAGAGUGAUAUCCCGGAUUGUGUGUGACGCCCGUGUUGUUUUGUCUCCUUUGGAAAGGUAUGCCUGUUAUGUGUCUUUGUUAUGGUAAAAUAUGUAAAAUGAGUGUGAGGAAAAUGACAAUUCUCUAUUAUAUUUUAUUUCCUUUAUUAGUGUAUAUAUUUAAUAUACUGUCUUUUUAUUUAAUUAAUUUAUUUGAGAUCAUUUUAUGCUUUGUUUACAUUUUUAUAAUUUAUUCCUUACAUGUAUGUAUUUAUUGAAAGUCACAGGAUAUAUGUGUCUAGGGUGAGUGAGCGCUGAUGCACGGAGCUGAGUGGAGAGUGAUAUCCCGGAUUGUGUGUGACGCCCGUGUUGUUUUGUCUCCUUUGGAAAGAAUAAACCUCUAGUACUCGACUCCUGUGUGUGCCUCACUGGAAGAUACAAGACACAACGCAGAAAGACAUUGGUUACAUAUACAGAGAUAAAAACAAAA
ensembl:lncRNA